UACAGAGGUCUCAAGCGUUGUUCGGAUUCAUUGGGCGUAAAGGGUGCGUAGGUGGCGCUGUAAGUCAGGUGUGAAAUUUCGGAGCUUAACUCCGAAACUGCAUUUGAUACUGCGGUGCUCGAGGACUGGAGAGGAGACUGGAAUUUACGGUGUAGCAGUGAAAUGCGUAGAGAUCGUAAGGAAGACCAGUGGCGAAGGCGGGUCUCUGGACAGUUCUGACACUGAGGCACGAAGGCCAGGGGAGCAAACGGG
rnacentral:rRNA from 1 species